UACGGAGGGUGCAAGCGUUAUCCGGAUUCACUGGGUUUAAAGGGUGCGUAGGUGGGUCUGUAAGUCAGUGGUGAAAUCUCCGGGCUUAACCCGGAAACUGCCAUUGAUACUAUCUGUCUUGAAUACCGUGGAGGUGAGCGGAAUAUGUCAUGUAGCGGUGAAAUGCUUAGAUAUGACAUAGAACACCAAUUGCGAAGGCAGCUCACUACACGAAUAUUGACACUGAGGCACGAAAGCGUGGGGAUCAAACAGG
rnacentral:rRNA from 1 species